CUUGCAGCAUGCCCAGAAAUAGGCAUUAAUAGCUUGAUUAACUUUUCAGCGAGGUUAUAAAACCAUCUGUGUUUAUAACAGUGCCAGGCCUGAGUUCAGUUGGAGCCGGAAUAUUUCAGUAUUCCUGGAGCCCUCAAACUGCACGCCCGUGCCUUCAGCUCGUGGCAGCCUCAGCCAGGAGAUCGGAGCCAGAUGUCCCUCCAGAGCUGAGCUCUGUGGCAUAAAGAAGGAUGAUGUUCCACAGAAGACCCCUCCAGAGCGAGAGUCACCCAGAGUGGAGGAGAUUGUGCUUGGUCUGCUCUCAGCUCAAAUGCGUUUUCAGAAAUAGUUUUCUCCAACGCUUCAACAAUUUUCAUCUCCUUAACAACCCCGGAGCUCCUGAAUAUCCGUUGCCCUGGUGUGGUGAGACCACCAUGAUGAUGGUUGGCUCUGCAUAGCUGGUACCCAGGAGUGAUGCCAAUGGCACCCUCCAAAAGCGCCCUUGUUCUGGGGCUCAAAUCUCGCUGAAGGCAAGACCAAAAUGUAUGUGUGUUUCAGUUGUUUUUUUCAUUUUUUUUCAGUAGACUCCCAUGGUCAUGAAGGAGGAGAGGGAAUCCUGCUGGACACAGCCCAACCCCUUCUUGGCAGCAUCCCCAUCGCCCCACGGAGCCCAGGCGGGGCUGCCCGUCCCCACCCUGCCGGCACGGCUGAGCUGCGGCUUCGUUCUCUUAAAACAACGACUGCCGUGCCAGGGGUGCCGUUUCGGUGUUUGAAGAUGCACCCACCUCUUCUCCCCAACCUGCAUUGCCCCGAGGGAUGCCUUACACCCAGAAACGGGAGACUCCCUUACCAACCCACCAGGGAGUCUGUAAUACUCAGCACUCGGGUGCUCUGUGGUUUCAGCAGCACAGAUCCAUUCUGCUUUGAUAUUUCUUCAAAAAGCUUGAGGGAGGAAGGUACUUCAAACAGGCGUUGUUCUCCUGUUGACCAUGUUAACAUGGAGUCCUUCCUUAAAUUCCUUCUGAAGGAAGUUGUGAACCUGCAGA